AGAUCUGUAACUCAGUUGGUAGAGUGGCUGCCUUACAAGCAGUACGUCAUCGGUUCGAGUCCGGUCAGAUCUA
rnacentral:tRNA from 1 species